GGCAAUAGUGCACAGGUCUUUCUUCCAUUAACGACGCCCUAUGGAAUAUUAUAAAUAGAAAACAAAAAAUAAAUAAAUAAAUAGAACCCUAAAAAAGAAAUUAGCCCCCACUUCUUUCUCUCUUCUUUCAGACAAUCUAAGAAUCCCAAAAAAAUGAAGGGGGGUUCCCUUUUCUGUUCCAAGGUUCCAAGACUACGAACCCCGUCGCCGACUUCGCCGCACCACCACUAUCGCCGGUGGCCGACGACAAGCGACCACGGAGGUAAGUUUCUCGUAUUUCUCUUUUCUUACAUUUUUCAUUUUUGAAUGCACAAGAAGAGAAAAAAAGGUGAAAUAAAAUAUGCUGAAAUUAUAAUGCAAAAAAAAAACAAAAAGGAAAAAUCCCCUAAAAAUCGUUCUGCUUUUGGUAUGUCUCGUUCACAAAACAAUCGUCUGAUUGAGAUUGAUUCUUAAGAAAUAAAAAAAACAUGAAUAAGUAAAUAAAUGGAGAUCUUGAGAAAUAAAAAAGAAUGAAUAAGUAAAUAAAUGGAUAGCAAGCAGUUUGAAGAUUAAAAUCAACCUUUCAAUAUUUCUUUGUUUCCUUUUGAUUUUCUAGUGUUCGUAAAAGAGAGGAAGCACCCGUACAAUCGUCUGAUUUUCGGCUUUUAUAGCCGAUUUACAGCCUUUUAGUUUCUAUUUUUUUUUUGUCACUUUGCUAUUUGGCUUCUUGCAGGUGGCCAUGGCCGACAGUGGUGGCAGAAGCGUGUGAGUUGAGGUGUGGGCUGGAGGCGUGGCAGACGAGGAGGUGGAGCGGCACACAUGCGACGCUCAUGGGCAGUUGGGGCUAGGGUUUGCUGUUGCUGAAAGUUUGUUAUGGGCUAUUAGGUUUGGGCUUAAAUUUGGGUUUGGGCAUUUUUGGGUUAAUUUUUGUUGUAAUGGACUGGAAGUGUUUUAUUAGUCUGGUUUGUUUGGGUUGGUUUGCUGGUAUGGGCCCGGGCAAAAUGGGCUCGUACAAUAGCUAGAUAACAGCUAGAUUAACUAACAAACUUAUAACUUAAUUAGCUAAUACGCCCCCUCAAGUUGGAGAGUGGAUAUUCUUCAUUCCCAGCUUGACCAAAUUUGCCUCAAAAAGAACUGCAGCAAGGGCCUUGGUAAAGAUAUCUGCAAGUUGAUCUUUGGACGAACAAGGAAGCAAUUUGAUAACACCCUGAGUAGUCUUUUCUCUAAUGAGAUGACAAUCUAUCCCUAUAUGUUUUGUCUUCUAAUGAAAAACAGGAUUCGCAGCCAAUUGUAAAGCAGAAGCAUUAUCACAAUACAAUGAAGUUGGACGAGAAACAGGCUGAUGAAGGUCAGUCAGCAAAAAAUGUAGCCACUGGAUUUCACAUGUUGUGGAUGCAAGUGCUCUAUACUCCGCUUCUGUGGAAGAACGAGAAACGGUAGUUUGUUUCUUUGCCUUCCAGCUAAUCAAUGAGUCACCAUAGAACAUACAAUAUCCAGUGAUUGACCGUCGCGUAUCCGGACAACCCGCCCAAUCUGAAUCACUAAAGGCUUUAAGAACUGGUUGAAUUGUUGAACUAGAAAAGAACAAACCAGAUCCAGGAGAUCCUUUCAAAUAUCGAAGCACUCUAUGAGCUGCCUGCAAGUGUGAGAGUGUAGGUUUAUCCAAAUGCUGACUCAGUUGUUGUACUGCAAAUGAUAUAUCAGGGCGAGAAGACUGCAAAUAAAUCAAUCGGCCAACAAGUUGUCUAUAUGCAGUAACAUCAAAAAGAUAGUCAUGAGAAGCAUCAUUUGGCAGUUUGGUUGCAAUAGGUGUUUUAGCAGGUUUGCACUCUAAGAAACCAAAAUCAGAAAGAAUGUCCAAGACAUAUUUUCUUUGGGACAAAUGAAUACCAGAUGAACUUCGAGCUACCUCUAACCCCAAAAAAACUUUAAAUCUCCAAGAUCUUUGAUCCGAAAUGAGGUAUCCAAGAAGACUUUGACUUUGUUAAUCUCAUUCAUGUUGUCACCAGUUAGAAUCAUGUCAUCAACAUAGAUUAACAAAGCAGUAAAUGAAGUAGCUUCCUUUUUCACAAACAAGGAAUAAUCAGCCAUGGAUUGCACAUAUCCAAUAGAUAACAAAGCUGAUGUAAGCUUUGAAAACCAUUGCCUACUAGCCUGUUUAAGUCCAUAAAGUGACUUUUGAAGUUUGCAAACCUUAUUCAUACCCAAAUCAAAUCCAGGAGGAGGCAACAUAUAAACUUCCUCAUCAAGGUCUCCAUGUAAGAAGGCAUUAUUAACAUCUAACUGCUGGAGAAACCAUUUCUUUGAAGCAGCCAUAGCCAGUAACAAUCUGACAGUUGUAAUCUUUGCUACAGGAAAAAAAGUGUCAAAGUAGUCAAUGCCUUCGGUUUGCGUGUAACCCUUAGCAACCAAACGAGCCUUAUAUCGCUCAAUAGAACCGUCUGCUUUGUGCUUAAUACGGUACACCCAUUUGCAACCAAUGGCUUGUUUCCCUGGUGGUAAAUCAACAAGAAUCCAAGUGUUAUUUUAUUCAAGAGCUAAAAAUUCAGCCUGCAUUGCUUCUCUCCAUUGGGACUGUUUGUUGGCUUAAUUAAAAGUUUGAGGUUCAAUGGCUGCAGUGAUGGCUAAGGUAAAAUGUAAAUGAGAAGUGGAGAGGUUGGCAUAAGUAAGAUAAUUAAUUAAUGGAUAAAGUGUGGAGUGAGGUUGGCUUGGUGGACAUAAAUGGCAUUGAUAGUCCUGGAGGUAAGAUGGUGGUUUUCGAGUGCGAGAUGGCCGAGAGGGUUGAGUGGAAAAGUCAGAUUGAGGUGAGGGAAUAGGUUCAGGAGAUGGUAUAUCAGUAUCAUAAGACAUUGAAGGAUCAAAAGUAAUAUGUGGGAUAGUGUCAAAGGAAGGUGUGACAGUUGGAAAAGUGGUUUCAUGAAACAUGACAUUUCGAGAGAUGAAAAUGUCAUGAGAAGCAAGAUCAAACAAAAUAUAGCCUUUGACAUUAGGUGGGUAACCAAGGAAAAUACAUUCUCUGGCACGAGGGUCAAAUUUAUGUCUAUUGGAUUGUAAGGUGGUGGCAAAGCUUAGGCAACCAAAAACUUUUAAGGCUUGAUAAUCUGGUGGAGUAGAAUUUAGUUUUUCAAAAGGGGUAAGAUUGUUUAAUAAUGGUGUUGGUGUACGGUUAAUAAGAAAUACAGAGUGUAAAAUGGCAUGACCCCAGAAAAGCUCAGGUAAUUUGGAAUGAAACAACAAGGCACGAGACACAUUAAGGAUAUGUUGAUGUUUACGCUCCACUAAACCAUUUUGC
rnacentral:lncRNA from 1 species